rnacentral:lncRNA from 1 species
AUUCUUUGUUCACAUGGAUGAGUGUGGAAAAUUUUAUUGAGAGGUGGAGAUUGAUAUAAAUGAAUAUUACAUCUUGAAAGGAGAGUGAAAACUUCUUCUCAUUUCAUGUUAUACAGACUAAGUAACCAUUUUUUUCUCAUAGACCCAGAAAAGAAACAUUUGCUUUUACUUGAGAGAUAUUAAUAUAAGAAAUAAAGGCUCAAAGCAGCUAUUUAAUUGAAAUAAUAGCCACAGAAAAUUGCCCUUCUCUUGAGUCCAUAGUGCCCAUGUGAAGGAGCAGACAGGCGGGGGUGCUGGUCUGCUCGUGGGAGAAAACUCCCCUUUGAGUUAGCAUUUUCGGCCACGGUCUGGUAAGUUGGACAUUCCCCUCGUCAGUUCUACGGAACGGUUUCGGAACGGGCUCUUUCUCUCUGCUGCUUUGGUUCUUAGGUGCUGAUUUUAGUUUCCAUCAAUGCUGUGUGGCGAUCACUGUCAUCCUCCAACACUGCAGACGGUGAUGACACCCCAUCAAGACCAGGGUUACGUGAUCCUCGGCCACUGCCGUGACCUACCUGCUGGGUACAAGGGAGGCUCAGUAAAUAGCUGCCAAUUAAAUAACUGUAUGCACUACAAGGAAAGAGAUAGUCUGCAAUUCCAAACAGUGCUGCAGACUUCUCCAAGCCCGGAGUCAGUGAACCAUGAUGACAGACGAUUAAAUAAAUAAACAUGGAAAUACUGGCUAUAGAUUUUAGACCAAUAUAUCCCUCCAUGCAGAAGCAGAUUGAGAGUAUCGUAGAAGAAUCUUUUCUGUAUCCUUGUGGACAUCUCAGAAUUAUGUGAUUUUUCUUUUCUUUCUGCUUUUCGGGAUGAUUUACGGAAGCUUCUUUUUUCUUAAAAUAAAAUAACUGUGUGUCUUGAUAAUUAACACUUGUACCAUAGGUGUUGUUCGUGUUUUUUUCCUCAUCC